rnacentral:rRNA from 1 species
UACGUAGGGUGCGAGCGUUGUCCGGAAUUACUGGGCGUAAAGCGUGCGUAGGUGGUUCGUUAAGUCCGUUGUGAAAGCCCCGAGCUCAACUUGGGAAUUGCAGUGGAUACUGGCGAGCUGGAGUGCGGUAGAGGAAGGUGGAAUUCCCGGUGUAGCGGUGAAAUGCGUAGAGAUCGGGAGGAACACCAGUGGCGAAGGCGGCCUUCUGGACCAGUACUGACACUCAAGCACGAAAGCGUGGGGAGCAACAGG